rnacentral:snRNA from 1 species
AGCUUUGCGCAGUGGCAGUAUCGUAGCCAGUGAGGUUUAUCUGAGGCGCGAUUAUUGCUAAUUAAAAUAGACAUUUCUCAAGAGAAGACAUAUAAGUUGUUACCAUGAAUAUGAAAAGAUGCUCAAAACCA